UUAAAAGGGAAAUGGAUUUUCACAAGUACCAAUUCAACAUAGUGAGAAGCAUCACUUAUUGUGAAAAAUUCAAUGUUUACUUUGUACUGAGACGAGACUAUGCACUUAAGGUGUAUAAUAAGGAUUAUGAAGAGAUCUGCUCAGUAGAGAAUGUGGAGACACGUCUGUUGACACUUAUGGUAUUCAAUCCUGUGAGUGAUGAACUCAUUACAGGAGGAAUCAAAGGCGUAAAGUUCUGGAAGUUUAAAGAAACAGAGAAUACAGAUUACACUGAUGCAGUUCACAUGUCCAAUUACAAGCUUUUCCCCAGUGCAGAAUUCCCACACAUGAGGCAAAUCUGGUGUACAAAUAUGGAGUUUGAUGUCAAUAUGCAAAGACUUUAUUGCUUUUCUAAUUGCGAUCUCUUCUGCUAUGAUACCAAAGGGAAUAUACUGUUUCAGCUAACCAGUGCCCACCAAAGUACCAUUCUCUCCUGCGUCUAUUCAUCAUACUCCAAUGCUUUGCUUACCUCCUCCAGGGACUCUGAAAUAAAAUCUUGGAAUGACCAGGGCUGUUUGUUGCAUGUGUUUCAUGGCCAUACCAGGUCUGUCACACACAUCCUCCUCCACCCAAACACUUUGUCUUUAUUUAUCUCUGGAUCUUUGGAUGGGACAGUGAAACUCUGGUCCCUGGAUACAAUGGAGCUGUUUUACAGUUUAUCAUUGUUCACUGAAGGAAUUGUUUGGAUGGGCCUGACUGAGGAUAAGUUGCUGUACUGCUCUUCUGCCCGCAAUCUUCAUGUGUAUGACUUGAACAAUUUUACCAAAUUCUGGACUCGUGUCAGCAGUCAGAUUAAGGCUCUGUCCCUCUGUGGUGCCAAUGGGAAAUCCAGCAGGGUGAUAGCUAUGGGCUCUGAUAACAGUUUACGAAUUUUCUCUCUGCAUAAUGGGACAAAGUUAUGUACCGUGCUGCCGCCUCCCUAUCCCUCUCCACUCCAGUCAGUUCUCGGCUUUGCCUAUAAUCGAACCAGUGGAACAAUUUACUUCCUCCUGACUUCUUGGGAUAUAUGGGUCUACACAGCAAGAACUGAUCCUGCAUGUAGGGCAGCAGUGUGGACUAUUGAAGAAAUACACCAGCACUUAAACAGAAAACACCCCUUAGCCUCUUGUGUAGAGAAGAAUGAAUAUUUUCAGCAUACUCGAAAGGAGAGUGUAAGAGAUCCAGUGAGAUGCAAAUGUCUCUGCAGCCUGUCCUCCCCAAUAUGCUACUGGAUAGAUGAAGGGCUGGUGUAUGCAGAUACCCAGGAAUUUCUGGUUCUUGGUAUGCAGGAUGGAAGAAUCCUGUUUCUGCACACCUCAAUACAAAAUCUAGUAUAUUAUGAGAUGAAGGCCUAUAAAGAUCCUGUAAUUGAAUUAAAACAUGAUAUAGAUCACCAUCAACUGAUAAAUAUGUGCCAGGAAUUGGAAUACAAAUUGGUGCAGAUCUGGAGUUUACCUGCCCUGCAGUUGCUUCACCAGAUCAAUAUCUCGAAUGAAACCAUGGUUUUCACCAGGAUUAACAGUUCACUGUUCCUUGGCCUGCAUUCUGGAGCUGUAAAUGUCUUUGAUGUUCAUAUUGAAGAAGGCCCAGUGGAGCUGUUGGAGAAAAAUGAGAAAAAGCCAGGGGGAAAUGAAGAACCAGAUAUCACUCAUGAUUCUGAAAAUGCUCACAAGGGCCCUGUGGUAGCAGUGGAUGCCUGCAAGACCCUCUCGCUCUUUCUAAGCUGUGGUGCGGACUACAUGGUGAAACUCUGGGAUAUUCACAAGAAUUUGCUGGCCGAAAUUUGUCUUGAUAACACUCUCAGCUCUGCUUGUUUCCUGAAUGGUUCUGGAGAUAUUUUAGUGGCUUUCAAAAAUGAUCUUUACAUCUUGCCUCACAGUAAGGCACUGGGUAUCACAGCGACAGAUACAGAUGUCUCUGGAAUCUCAGCAACAGAGUCCUUCAUUUAUGAAAACCAAGCUUUAAAUUACCAAAAGGAAGGAAAAACUGAUGUCUCCAAAGUCACUGACAUGGACUCUUAUCUGGUGCCUUACAUGGGAUUUAAUUUCACCAGUGACUUCACAACAGAAUUGCUGGUUUCACCAAUGGACGGAGAAAAGCUGUCCUGGAAGUUGCCGCUGGCCCCUUCCCGGAUAUAUUGUUCUCCCAGUAUCUCAGCGACUUCAUUGAAGAUAUUUGACUUCCUGUUUCAACCUGGACCUCUCAGCAUAGAUGAGCGAGAGAAGGCGGAACGUAAAGGAUUCUUUCUACAAUUCUACCUUUUGUUUACUUCUGUUUAUUCAAUAACUAAAGUAAAUCUGGUAGCAUCCUAAACCUUGAACCAGAUCCUCGGCUGGUAUAAAUUGAUGUAGCUCUGUUGACUUCAGUGGAGCUAAGCUGAUUUAUACCAGCUGAGGAUCUGGCCCUAUAGGUCAGAUUUUCACAAUUCCCUGCACACAAGGGUUCUGCUGUACACCCAAAACUCCAGUUGAAGUCAAAGGGAGCUGC
ensembl:lncRNA